rnacentral:rRNA from 1 species
UACAGAGGGGGCAAGCGUUGUUCGGAAUUACUGGGCGUAAAGGGCGCGUAGGCGCCUUCUAAGUCGAACGUGAAAUCCCUGGGCUCAACCCAGGAACUGCGUCCGAUACUGGAAGGCUUGAAUCCGGGAGAGGGAUGCGGAAUUCCAGGUGUAGCGGUGAAAUGCGUAGAUAUCUGGAGGAAUACCGGUGGCGAAGGCGGCAUCCUGGACCGAGAUUGACACUGAUGAGCGAAAGCCAGGGGAGCAAACGGG